AGCUCCAAUAGCGUAUAUUAAAGUUGUUGCGGUUAAAAGCUCGUAGUUGGAUUUCUUCUUGGGAUCGACGGUCCCGCUGUUAGCGGAGUAUCUGUUCGAGCCUAGGAAUCCUCUCGAAAAUCAGAAUUAUGCUUGAUUGCAUUUUUUGGAGUUCGAGACUUUUACUUUGAGGAAAUUAGAGUGUUCAUAGCAAGCUGUUGCUUUGAAUAUAUUAGCAUGGAAUAAUAAUAUAAGACUGAGUUUUUAUUUUGUUGGUUUUAAGAGUUCAGUAAUGAUAAAUAGGGAUUGUCGGGGUGACUAGUAUUGAUGCGUCAGAGGUGGAAUUCUUGGAUUGCAUCACGACUAACUACUGCGAAAGCAUUUCACAAGGAUGUUUUCA
rnacentral:rRNA from 1 species